GAAGAAGGUUAAAUUAAAAGCUGUGUUCAAAGGCAAAGGCAAAACAGUAAGAGUGUUUCCAACCUGGAGCAGAGCAGUAGCUGUUGGCUAUCUUCUGGAGGUCCUCAACAGCAUGCUAGACAAGCACCUGCUUGAUGCACACACAGCUGAUGAUUGCCCUGAAGCAGAGCAAAAAACUGAAUAGCCUUUCAAAUCUUUUUUAGGCUGAUUUUCACAGGCGCACAUAUGGUGCGGCUCCUACCUGGCAGACCAGCAGCAGCACUCAGCAUAGUAAGUGGAUCUGCAAAAAGCUGGGGAGAGACACCUGAGCCCAACAGCGCAACCGGGCAACUGCAUCAGACUCGGAGCCAGCACCGAGGCUGGGAAACGGCGCGCAGCUGGGAGAGCCCUGCCUCCGAGAGCGGACGAGGCAUUGCGGCCAAGGAGUUGGAAAGGCCCAUUGUGGAAGAUGAAACUACAAGCAAAAAGAUAAAAAUAACAAAUUCACGCCAGCAACCCAUGAACUAUUGGACGCUUACCUCGUUUAAGACAUCAGAUAUUAAAUGAUUAUACCAUUGCAGAGUGACUGGCACCAUAGGAUGAAUAAUGAGGUAUUUGCACAGAGGUUGGUAUCCCUGUUUGUCUUGGUGGAUGACUGUAUUGUGCUGAAUGCUUGUGUAUCAAAUAACUGAAUUACGAUAUUCACUUGGAAAAGGGAUCCACAAAUGGAGAGGAAGACAAAAAGAACCUUUUCUGGGAUAAACCCCAAGAAUUAGCUGGUAUAAUAUCCAUGGACAAUGAAAAGUAGACCAAACAACUUACAAAUAAGCCCUCAGAAAGAACAGAUCCAAAUUUCACAGUUCACUUGUGCUCCAUGCUAUUUUUAAGAUGAGGCAUGUUUGCUUCACGUUUUCUUUCAAUACUGGGAUAAAGUCUUUCACCCUCCCAUCCCCCUAUUCAGGAGUGGUCAAACUCAUUUGUCAAAACUAUACAGAUACCGCUAUGAGCUGAAUCAGUUUUGAAGAUGCCAAGAACUUCACAGAAGCUACAUAAUGAGACUGAAAAACCUUUACCAGAGCCUGGAAAAAGCAUGGGUUUGGCCACAAACAAUCACUUGGAAGCAUUUUUGUAUAGGAAAUGGAGAGUAAAGAGGAAUUGUUGGGCUGGUGAGAGAGAUAGCAGGCAUGAGAAAAAUGAAAAGAACGGCUGCAAAACAAACUUCACAGCCGCAACAAAAGAAAAAAGGUAACUAAUAUUCUGCUGUACUGAAAUUUUAUAACCUCCAGGAAAAACUUUUAAAACAACGACACUAUUUGUUUUCAUAAACCAUUUCCAUUCCUGUUUGUAUCAUCUCAGCAUCAGCCAGGAACACGUAGAAGACUUCAAAAUUUAGUAUUAAAAUAACGUGCAAAGUACCGUAGUUUUUCCUGCAUGCCCAGCACUAAUGGAAAUGCUUAAUGUUGUGCAGGAAAAUAAAAAGCACAUUAUCUGGCA
rnacentral:lncRNA from 1 species